rnacentral:rRNA from 1 species
AGUUGGUGGAGUGAUUUGUCUGGUUAAUUCCGUUAACGAACGAGACCUCAGCCUGCUAAAUAGUUCCACGAAGCGCACGCUUCGUGGCCAACUUCUUAGAGGGACUAUUGGCGUGUAGCCAAUGGAAGUUUGAGGCAAUAACAGGU